UACGUAGGGUGCAAGCGUUAAUCGGAAUACUGGGCGUAAAGCGUGCGCAGGCGGUGAUGUAAGACAGGUGUGAAAUCCCCGGGCUUAACCUGGGAACUGCAUUUGUGACUGCAUCGCUGGAGUGCGGCAGAGGGGGGAUGGAAUUCCGCGUGUAGCAGUGAAAUGCGUAGAUAUGCGGAGGAACACCGAUGGCGAAGGCAAUCCCCUGGGCCUGCACUGACGCUCAUGCACGAAAGCGUGGGGAGCAAACAGG
rnacentral:rRNA from 1 species